UGUGGGUGUGGGUGUGUAUGUAUAUAUAUAUAUAUAUAUAUAUAUAUAUAUAUAUACACACACACAAUAUGUAUUCU